rnacentral:rRNA from 1 species
CUGCCUAUAAGACUGGGAUAACUUCGGGAAACCGGAGCUAAUACCGGAUACGUUCUUUUCUCGCAUGAGAGAAGAUGGAAAGACGGUUUACGCUGUCACUUAUAGAUGGGCCCGCGGCGCAUUAGCUAGUUGGUGAGGUAAUGGCUCACCAAGGCGACGAUGCGUAGCCGACCUGAGAGGGUGAUCGGCCACACUGGGACUGAGACACGGCCCAGACUCCUACGGGAGGCAGCAGUGGUCA